rnacentral:rRNA from 1 species
AAUGAACGUUGGCGGCGUGGAUUAGGCAUGCAAGUCGAACGGGCCUGGCAACAGGUCAGUGGCGCAAGGGUGAGUAAGGCGACGGUAACCAACCCCAUGGUCGGGUAUAGCCGCGGGAAACUGCGGGUAAUCCCCAGCGAUGUACGAGGCCGGCAUCGGCCUGGUACCAAAGCUCCGGCGCCGUGGGACGGGCCGUUGUGGUAUUAGGUAGUUGGCGGGGUAACGGCCCACCAAGCCUCUGAUGCCUACCGGGCGUGCGAGCGUGGCCCGGCACACUGGGACUGAGACACUGCCCAGACUCCUACGGGAGGCUGCAGUCGAGAAUCUUCGGCAAUGGGCGCAAGCCUGACCGAGCGACGCCGCGUGGAGGACGAAGGCCUUCGGGUUGUAAACUCCUGUCGAGGGGGAGGAAGGGGCAACCUUGACCGAUCCCUGGAGGAAGCACGGGCUAAGUUCGUGCCAGCCGCCGCCGUAAAAC